GAUGAACGCUAGCUACAGGCUUAACCCAUGCAAGUCGAGGGACCGGCGCACGGGUGAGUAACACGUAUCCAACCUGCCCUUUACUCGGGGAUAGCCUUUCGAAAGAAAGAUUAAUACCCGAUAUCAAGGAUGGGGAUGCGUUCCAUUAGGUUGUUGGUGAGGUAACGGCCCACCAAGCCUUCGAUGGAUAGGGGAUCUGAGAGGAAGGUCCACCACAUUGGAACUGAGACACGGUCCAAACUCCGACGGGAGGCAGAAGUAAGGAAUAUUGGUCAAUGUGCGGUAGACUGAACCAGCCAAGUGGCGUGAAGGAUGAAGGCUUAUGGGUCGUAAACUUCUUUUAUAUAAGAAUAUGUAUUAUAUGAAUAAGGAUCGGCUAACUCCGUGCCAGCAGCCGCGGUAAUAC
rnacentral:rRNA from 1 species